UUCCCUCUUGGUCAACUCAUUUUCCCCUUUUUUUCCCCUUUCCCGGACGACAUCAUAUUGAUCGGCAUGGAACUUUCAAUAGCAGGAAGGCUCCUUCAGAUAUCUGCAAGAGUUGAUGGAGAAUCAAUGGGAGAGGCUGGUUUGUGAAUUAAUCAACGCCAUAACCAUUGGCACACGUCUGUGAAAGGCAAGGGUACUACAUGUUCCUACGGGAGGUUUCAUGCCUACCAUAUCGAAAGAGCAUAAGUAGUGACCUGAGAGGAGAGGGAAUAGGGGGAGAGAUUGUUGAUUGUUCAUUCUGGAGAGGAGAGGUUGCCCUUUUAGUCAGCACAGAUACCAUUGAUUCGAACCAAGUCUCUUGUUCCUGCAUUCCUUUAAUCUGCAAAUUUAUAACACUAGGGACCCAUAUCUACUAGAGACUAGAAAGAAGGAAUGAUGGGUGUAUCCCCGACUAACGAAAUGGUGCAGGACGUUUUCUGACCAAUGCGGGAGCACCCGGACUGAACUAGGAGUAGCAGCAAAGAUAAAAGGCAGGUGGGGGCAGGCUCCCAUCUAUGGAUAUCAGCCGAGUCCACCUAUACUUUACCAAUGAUCAUGAGUUAUUAUCAGGUGUCAGUUGCAGGAUUUUUGUUACUAGAUUGAUUAAUCCCAUUUCCACUGCUUUCAUCUUGCUUUUCUGCUUGUUGGUCCUAGAGUUUCCUUAGGGAGCGACUACUUUACCUCCCACCCAUCCCCUUCAUAUUGGGUUGGGUGGGAUGAGAAGAACCCGUAGGGGUUCUAUAGCGGUAGCAGGUGGUUGUGACCAAGGCUCAAAAGAUUAUUAUCUCAUUUGCCUUUGGAGGUUUACAAUAAGGAUCUUUGGGAAGAAAUUCAAAUGCCCUAUUUUAGAAUAAAUAAUGCAUUUUAUCUUGUCUGUUUGUGGUGUUUAUAGUUGAGGCGCUCAAAGUAAUUGCCAACAAACUGAAGGUUUUGAGUUGGAACUUCAAUUUGGAUCCCUACAAUAAUGAUGAUACAAAAAGGCAUCAUCUUGACGACAUAGCUGGGUCACGUGGGGUCAUAUGCAGCUAUUCUUUUUAGUAAAACAUACCACUUGCCAUGUUAAGCUAAUAAUGAUAUGUCUAGAACAGCAAGGGAUUGUGCACCCUGAAUUGGCUAAUAUUACACACUUGCUUAGCCUGAAUUUUAGUACGAAUUGUUGUUUUGGAACACUACCACUAGAGCUAAGGAAGUUGGCAAAUUUGGAUUAACUGAAGAAUGUGAACAGUUGGAGAAUCGAGUUAACGAUUUAGCACAAAAGCCUCAAGGAAGCCCUAAAAUUUUUGCAGCGGUACACGUCUUUUGGAUUUUGAUAAUCCAUAUGGUCACCCGCCUAUAUUUGAGGUUGUGAACAACAUUGGAAUUGAUAGAUCUAAAUAGCUUGCUCCUUUGCUUGUGUAUGCGGCACUGGAAAAGAGAACCACCAAAAUCCUCUGCGAUCUUAAUGAGAAGUUUCGUCAGUAUCACCCUCCCGUCACUAAAAUUCUCUACGGUGUCAACAGCAAAUUCAAUGUGUUUUUCCGUUUUUGCAAAAAAGAUGUGAGAAAAACUUUUGUCGACUACCUAUACGAAUCUCUCUCUGGAGUGGGGAUUAGGGUUUUCCUCGAUAGGGAUUAAUUGGGGAAGGGCAAAGACAUAGAUUCCUGCCUGCAAGCAGCCAUUGAAACAAGUUAUAUUUUCAUAGCGCUAUGCAGAAUCAACUUCUUGUCUGAAGGAGGCGUCCCAGAUGUGUAGAUCUAGUGGCUUCAUCAUUCCCCUGUUUUAUGAUGUGGAACCCUGUGAUGUUCACUACCCUCAAAGAGAGGGAGGUCCAUUUGCAGAGGCAUUCAAAAAACAUAACAGCGAUUUAGAUCAGCAGGAUGAGAAUACAAUCAAGGAAUGGAAGAAUAGUCUUCAUCAAAUCUCUUCUCUUUCUGGUUGGACAAGGGUAGAAGAAUUUGGAUAUAUUUGAAGGCAUAAAUGAGUAUAUCGAUGAUGCUGAAAUGAUGAAUGAAAUGACUACUAGGAGCUGUUGUGAACUGAAACAUUGGCCUGUUCACAUUGAGGAUAAGAAUCAAACCAUGUAGGUGCCAAUUCACAAACAUAAAUGUAUCAUUCAAAAUUUAUGUACAUUCUCUUUGUGUUGCUAGAGCCAGAUAGAUAUUGUAAGGUUUUGUCUAAUAAACAUGCAAUUGUUUUAUUUUCAAGGCAACAAAAAGAUGUUCAAUACAAAAACACAAAAUCGCUGACAAUGGUCACAUGUUCUCAACCAUUAUUCAGACUUAAAACUUACUACUAAACCAAAGGGUGUUUUGAGACCCAAGAUUCUAAAGGGUACAAUUAUUCUUAAAGGGUGCUAGCUCAAUGGAAGAGUACCUGUUUUACAAGCAGGAGGAUGGUGGUUCAAUUCCAUCACGCCCUAACAUGAAUUAAUCAAUGAUUGUAGUUUACAUUUAACAAUAGUGAUUUAUCUGAAUAGUGAGCUAUUUUUCAAAA